rnacentral:snRNA from 1 species
AUACCUUUCUCGGCCUUUUGGCUAAUAUCAAGUAUAGUAUUUGUUAUUAUCAGUUUAGGGUCCGUUUGGAAAGCAGGACAAUGAUUUCCAGAAAAUGAUUUCUGGAAAAUGAAUUAUUUGAAAAAUAUUUUCUUUUUCCAGUGUUU